AUGGAUAUGUGGGUGCAGAUUUUCAGCUUACUGCUAAUCUGUGUCACAGUGUCAAAGGGAGAAAUGGUUCUCACCCAGUCUCCAGUAUCCAUAACUGCAUCUCGAGGGGAGAAGGUCACCAUCACCUGCCGUGCCAGCUCAAGUAUAAGUUCCAAUUACUUACACUGGUACCAGCAGAAGCCAGGAUCCUCCCCUAAACUUUUGAUUUAUAGGACAUCCAUCCUGGCAUCUGGAGUCCUAGACAGCUUCAGUGGCAGUGGGUCUGAGAGCUCUUACACUCUGACAAUCAGCUGCAUGCAGGACGAAGUUGCUGCCACUUACUAUUGUCAGCAGGGGAGUAGUAGCCCACCA